rnacentral:rRNA from 1 species
GACGAACGCUGGCGGCGUGCUUAACACAUGCAAGUCGAACGGAAAGGCCCUGCUUUUGUGGGGUGCUCGAGUGGCGAACGGGUGAGUAACACGUGAGUAACCUGCCCUUGACUUUGGGAUAACUUCAGGAAACUGGGGCUAAUACCGGAUAGGAGCUCCUGCUGCAUGGUGGGGGUUGGAAAGUUUCGGCGGUUGGGGAUGGACUCGCGGCUUACCAGCUUGUUGGUGGGGUAGUGGCUUACCAAGGCUUUGACGGGUAGCCGGCCUGAGAGGGUGACCGGCCACAGUGGGACUGAGAUACGGCCCAGACUCCUACGGGAGGCAGCAGUGGGGAAUAUUGCACAAUGGGCGGAAGCCUGAUGCAGCAACGCCGCGUGCGGGAUGACGGCCUUCGGGUUGUAAACCGCUUUCGCCUGUGACGAAGCGUGAGUGACGGUAAUGGGUAAAGAAGCACCGGCUAACUACGUG